rnacentral:lncRNA from 1 species
GUUCCUUUCUGUAGAUUCACGAUAUUUUUUAAUUAUUUAAAAUAAAUAUUACAAAUUUGAGAUCCUUUACAAAUCAAUAAACUCAACAUAGAUACCAGAAUUGGAAUUUUUUAUUGGUGCCGGACGCGCGUUUCGUCUACACUAAAUAGACUCACCUGUAAAGCUUGAAUAAAAAAUAAAAUAAUAGACCAAAUCAAAUACUCAGUUGAAGAGCAUUGUCCACAAAACCGAUGCUACCUCUUAAGAAAACAAUUCUUAAUAGAUUAGUACCGCUUAAGACUAAAUAUGAUAAGGCUUAGGGUGAACAACUACUUUCAAACUUGAUCAGGAUCUUAUGACAAAAAGGAAAUUAAAAAAAAAAGACAACUCGCUAUAACAGGUAUAAAACUUUGCAUGAUGUGGUGAUUAAAGCACGUACUAAGAACUAAUACAUAUUGUAUCUUCUACAUCAGAGACCAACACUUUGUAAUUAAAAGUAUUUGGAAUGUAUUAGGACAUUUUUAACUAGACAUUCACACAGAAUAGAAAACAGUCUAUGCACAG